AAAAACAGUUAGUUUAGGAAAACAGUGUCCAAGGUGAUGUGGUUGUUUGGCCACUUGCAUAGCAACAGCGGCAUGGAGAUUUAGGGCAAAUCAAAAAUAUCAUCUUAAAUGGCCAUUUAAGAAAGAAAGAAAAAAAUCCAGUUCCACUCUGGUCUCACAGUCAACUUGCCUAUGCCAUGAAGCUUAGCAGGAAGUUGACUAGUCACGUGACAAUAACAAUACGCCUCCAAGACAGGUCAGGAACCCAGCCGGUCUUGCAGCAAACUAGCAGCUGUUCAUCAAGCGUGUAGAAAUAUUUCACUACAGAUGAAAGACCUUACUAGCGUGACAUGCGGAAUAUGCAGCAUCCUGCUGGGCGUGGGUGCUUCCCAUUACUAUGGGGCGAGGGUGUCUGGUCUAGCCUACAUGUCUAAGUAACAUCCACAUGAAUGCCAGCCAACGAUGCCCCAGCACCGACACACUCCCACGGCCUCUAACCUCCAGGACUCUGACGUAGCCAUUCUCAGCGCUGAGGUGGAGGCAGGACUUUCCGCAGUUGUUCUUCACAUUGACGUCUGCCCCCAGAUUGA